rnacentral:rRNA from 1 species
GUGCAGCAGGCGAGAAUUUUUCACAAUGGGGGAAACCCUGAUGGAGCGACGCCGCGUGGAGGAUGAAGGCGUUUUCGUCGUAAACUCCUGUCAUGCGAGAACAAGAAAGUGAUAGUAUCGCAAGAGGAAGAGGCGGCUAACUCUGUGCCAGCAGCCGCGGUAAUACAGAGGCCUCAAGCGUUGUUCGGAUUCAUUGGGCGUAAAGGGUGCGUAGGUGGCAUGGUAAGUUGAAGGUGAAAUCUCGGAGCUCAACUCCGAAACUGCCUUCAAUACUGCUGUGCUCGAGGACUGUAGAGGAGAAUGGAAUUCACGGUGUAGCAGUGAAAUGCGUAGAUAUCGUGAGGAAGACCAGUGGCGAAGGCGAUUCUCUGGGCAGUUCCUGACACUGAGGCACGAAGGCUAGGGGAGCAAACGGAUUAGAUACCCGUGUAGU